GGGGCGGUAGCUUAGCCUGGGAAAGCAUACGGCUGAAGACCGUAGGACCGGGAGUUCAAAUCUCCCUCGCCCCA
rnacentral:tRNA from 1 species